UAUAUAUAUAUAUAUAUAUGUUUUUAACCAAACAUCCUUGCAUUUUCUGAGUAACUAAACAACUUUGACAAAGCAUUUAUUUUUUUGUUCUCCUAAGUUUUUGGUAACCAAACAAACCUCCUUUUUUUUUGUUUCCCUGUAUUUUCUUAGCAAUUAAACAAGUAAAAAAAAUGUUGGACGUUGUGUUGUGUGUGCAUGUAAAAGAAAAAUAAGUGGAAAAUGUUGUGAUUUAUUUUUAGAGAUUGGGCUUGCAAUUUUGAAGGAAUUUGGGAUGGUAAAAGUUAUCAAUAUUGGUGUUGGGAUGGAAAGAGAAGAAAUGAGUUUUUGCAAGGAAAAAUGAGAGGAACUAAUAGUGUGUGCGCGCGUGAGAGAGAGAGAGAGAGGGUAAUGGUGGUACUAUUUACUGUCGGAUUGUAUUUUCACAACCCAUAUUAUAUUUCCAUUUGAGUUAAUGGUAUUCUGGAAGUACAAAAAUCCCUUUCAAAACUCUUUAUUAUUAUUGACUUGAAUGUAAAUUCUUUCUGUAUCUUAAUUUCUCUUUGGUCAUUUUGUAAUGCUUUGUGCAGGUACCGUCAAAUUGGGAAUGCU
rnacentral:misc_RNA from 1 species